rnacentral:rRNA from 1 species
GAUGAACGCUGGCGGCGUGCCUAAUACAUGCAAGUCGAGCGAACAGACGAGGAGCUUGCUCCUCUGACGUUAGCGGCGGACGGGUGAGUAACACGUGGAUAACCUACCUAUAAGACUGGGAUAACUUCGGGAAACCGGAUCUAAUACCGGAUAAUAUAUUGAACCGCAUGGUUCAAUAGUGAAAGACGGUUUUGCUGUCACUUAUAGAUGGAUCCGCGCCGCAUUAGCUAGUUGGUAAGGUAACGGCUUACCAAGGCAACGAUGCGUAGCCGACCUGAGAGGGUGAUCGGCCACACUGGAACUGAGACACGGUCCAGACUCCUACGGGAGGCAGCAGUAGGGAAUCUUCCGCAAUGGGCGAAAGCUUGACGGAGCAACGCCGCGUGAGUGAUGAAGGUCUUCGGAUCGUAAAACUCUGUUAUUAGGGAAGAACAAAUGUGUAAGUAACUAUGCACGUCGUGACGGUACCUAAUCAGAAAGCCACGGCUAACUACGUG